GCAAGACUACUAACACUAGCAAUAAAAACAAACGUGAUUUGUUUUUAUUGAUAUUUUAGAGGAAUCGUCACAUGACAUUAGGGCUGUUACUAUUCAUGACAGCUAAUGUCAACUGUUGACAAAGUAUUGUAUUUAAAUUCCAUAAGGCAUGUGCCUGUUAACCUUAGCCUGUUUGCCCUGCCAGGAAAUUAAGUUGCCACGCACACAGACACAUAUUUAUUUGAUAGAGUGUGUUUUUAAAUGGUCUUAUAUUGUCAAUGUCGAUCAUGAUUCAACAUGGUUCAUGCAGGGGACAGCUCUUCAGUACUGGCUGUGUAAACUAAGGACCUUAUCUGCUUAUGGCUGAUUUUUGCUUGCAUGAACAUAUCAACUGAGGUCACAGCCUCCCAUCAAUAUUGGCUGAGCCUAUGUUUGAUAGCAACAUUAGACAGUACAGUGCUCUGUUGCUGCUGCACUGUUUGUAAUUGUGCCGACAUAGCACUGCACCGAGGGAGAGUGGAAUCAGGCUGGCGUGGUAAUUAGUCAAUAUGGAGGAUAGUUUCUCGUCUGUUUUACAUGUGUCAUCAUAGUGCUCUUCGGUCUGAUUUCCCAGCUUCUGUUCAAAUCACCAAGAAAUCAUUCACCCAGACAUUGUUAUUCUCAUUGCAUCCCAUCCUUAUUGUCCUGGGGUGUUCUGAGUGGCGGAGAGGUUUGAUACAGUAAUGAUACAGAGGAGGGAUCAGGAUUAACUAUCAGUAGGACAGUUGUAGGACUGAGGCUAUGUUUACAUCUCUUAUUUAGCUUUUACAUAAAUUGUUUUGAUUGACAUUUGCAGUUUUUUUAUUUGGCAAUUCCAGGUGUGUGUGUGUGUGUGUGUGUGUGUGUGUGUGUGUGUGUGUGUGUGUGUGUGUGUGUGUGUGUGUGUGUGUGUGUGUGUGUGUGUGUGUGUGUGUGUGUGUGUGUGUGUGUGUGUGUUUUCCAUGAGUAGAACAGUAUCUGAGGACAUUUUCUAACUCAUGGUUCGGUGAGAGAGCUGUACAGGUUAGGACACAGUUGGACCAGAACAGGAUGGGGAUAGACUUCACUAGAGGUAGGUAGACAGGUUAGGCUGGGCUUGGAAGUGACAGCAGUAGACUGGGGUUAGACAUGUUGGGCUGGGAGGUGACAGUAAGUAGACUGGGUUAGACAGGUUAGGCUGGGCUGGGAGGUGACAGCAGUAGGCAGGUUAGACAGGUUAGACAGGUUAGGUUGGGCUGGGAGGUGACAGUAAGUAGACUGGGUUAGACAGGUUAGGCUGGGCUGGGAGGUGACAGCAGUAGGCAGGUUAGACAGGUUAGGCUGGGCUGGGAGGUGACAGCAGUAGGCAGGUUAGACAGGUUAGACAGGUUAGGCUGGGCUGGGAGGUGACAGCAGUAGGCAGGUUAGACAGGUUAGGCUGGGCUGGGAGGUGACAGCAGUAGACAGGUUGGGCUGGGAGGUGACAGCAGGUAGACUGGGUUAGACAGGUUAGGCUGGGCUGGGAGGUGACAGCAGUAGGCAGGUUAGACAGGUUAGGUUGGGCUGGGAGGUGACAGCAGUAGACAGGUUAGGCCGGGCUGGGAGGUGACAGUAAGUAGACUGGGUUAGACAGGUUAGGCUGGGCUGGGAGGUGACAGCAGUAGACAGGUUAGGCUGGGCUGGGAGGUGACAGCAGUAGACAGGUUAGGCCGGGCUGGGAGGUGAUAGUAAGUAGACUGGGUUAGACAGGUUAGGCUGGGCUGGGAGAUGACAGCAGUAGACAGGUUAGGCCGGGCUGGGAGGUGACAGCAGUAGACAGGUUAGGCUGGGCUGGGAGGUGACAGUAAGUAGACUGGGUUAGACUGGUUAGGCUGGGCUGGGAGGUGACAGCAGUAGACAGGUUAGGCUGGGCUGGGAGGUGACAGUAGUAGACAGGUUAGACAGGUUAGGCUGGGCUGGGAGGUGACAGUAGUAGACAGGUUAGACAGGUUAGGCUGGGCUGGGAGGUGACAGCAGUAGGCAGGUUAGACAGGUUAGGCUGGGCUGGGAGGUGACAGCAGUAGACAGGUUAGGCUGGGCUGGGAGGUGACAGUAAGUAGACUGGGUUAGACUGGGAGGUGACAGCAGUAGACAGGUUAGGCUGGGCUGGGAGGUGACAGCAGUAGACAGGUUAGGCUAGGCUGGGAGGUGAUAGUAAGUAGACUGGGUUAGAUAGGUUAGGCUGGGCUGGGAGGUGACAGCAGUAGACAGGUUAGACAGGUUAGGCUGGGCUGGGAGGUGACAGUAAGUAGACUGGGUAAGACAGGUUAGGCUGGGCUGGGAGGUGACAGUAAGUAGACUGGGUUAGACAGGUUAUGCUGGGAGGUGACAGCAGUAGACAGGUUAGACAGGUUAGGCUGGGCUGGGAGGUGACAGCAGUAGACAGGUUAGGCUGGGCUGGGAGGUGACAGCAGUAGACAGGUUAGGCUAGGCUGGGAGGUGACAGCAGUAGACAGGUUAGGCUAGGCUGGGAGGUGACAGCAGUAGACAUGUUAGGCUGAGCUGGGAGGUGACAGUAAGUAGACUGGGUUAGACAGGUUAGGAGGGGCUGGGAGGUGACAGUAGUAGACAGGUUAGGCCGGGCUGGGAGGUGACAGCAGUAGACAGGUUAGACAGGUUAGGCUGGGCUGGGAGGUGACAGUAAGUAGACUGGGUUAGACAGGUUAGGAUGGGCUGGGAGGUGACAGUAGUAGACAGGUUAGGCCGGGCUGGGAGGUGACAGCAGUAGACAGGUUAGGCUAGGCUGGGAGGUGACAGCAGUAGACAGGUUAGGCUGGGCUGGGAGGUGACAGUAAGUAGACUGGGUUAGACAGGUUAGGCUGGGCUGGAAGGUGAGAGCAGUAGACAGGUUAGGCUGGGCUGGGAGGUGACAGCAGUAGACAGGUUAGGCUGGGCUGGGAGGUGACAGUAAGUAGACUGGGUUAGAUAGGUUAGGCUGGGCUGGGAGGUGACAGUAAGUAGACUGGGUUAGACAGGUUAGGCUCGGCUGGGAGGUGACAGUAAGUAGACAGGUUAGACAGGUUAGGCUGGGCUGGGAGGUGACAGUAAGUAGACUGGGUUAGACAGGUUAGGCUGGGCUGGGAGGUGACAGUAAGUAGACUGGGUUAGACAGGUUAGGCUGGGCUGGGAGGUGACAGCAGUAGGCAGGUUAGACAGGUUAGGCUGGGCUGGGAGGUGACAGCAGUAGGCAGGUUAGACAGGUUAGACAGGUUAGGCUGGGCUGGGAGGUGACAGCAGUAGGCAGGUUAGACAGGUUAGGCUGGGCUGGGAGGUGACAGCAGUAGACAGGUUGGGCUGGGAGGUGACAGCAGGUAGACUGGGUUAGACAGGUUAGGCUGGGCUGGGAGGUGACAGCAGUAGGCAGGUUAGACAGGUUAGGUUGGGCUGGGAGGUGACAGCAGUAGACAGGUUAGGCCGGGCUGGGAGGUGACAGUAAGUAGACUGGGUUAGACAGGUUAGGCUGGGCUGGGAGGUGACAGCAGUAGACAGGUUAGGCUGGGCUGGGAGGUGACAGCAGUAGACAGGUUAGGCCGGGCUGGGAGGUGAUAGUAAGUAGACUGGGUUAGACAGGUUAGGCUGGGCUGGGAGAUGACAGCAGUAGACAGGUUAGGCCGGGCUGGGAGGUGACAGCAGUAGACAGGUUAGGCUGGGCUGGGAGGUGACAGUAAGUAGACUGGGUUAGACUGGGAGUUGACAGCAGUAGACAGGUUAGGCUGGGAGGUGACAGCAGGUAGACUGGGUUAGACAGGUUAGGCUGGGCUGGGAGGUGACAGCAGUAGGCAGGUUAGACAGGUUAGGCUGGGCUGGUAGGUGACAGCAGUAGACAGGUUAGGCUGGGCUGGGAGGUGACAGCAGUAGACAGGUUAGGCUGGGCUGGGAGGUGACAGUAGUAGACAGGUUAGACAGGUUAGGCUGGGCUGGGAGGUGACAGUAGUAGACAGGUUAGACAGGUUAGGCUGGGCUGGGAGGUGACAGCAGUAGGCAGGUUAGACAGGUUAGGCUGGGCUGGGAGGUGACAGCAGUAGACAGGUUAGGCUGGGCUGGGAGGUGACAGUAAGUAGACUGGGUUAGACUGGGAGGUGACAGCAGUAGACAGGUUAGGCUGGGCUGGGAGGUGACAGCAGUAGACAGGUUAGGCUAGGCUGGGAGGUGAUAGUAAGUAGACUGGGUUAGAUAGGUUAGGCUGGGCUGGGAGGUGACAGCAGUAGACAGGUUAGACAGGUUAGGCUGGGCUGGGAGGUGACAGUAAGUAGACUGGGUAAGACAGGUUAGGCUGGGCUGGGAGGUGACAGUAAGUAGACUGGGUUAGACAGGUUAUGCUGGGAGGUGACAGCAGUAGACAGGUUAGACAGGUUAGGCUGGGCUGGGAGGUGACAGCAGUAGACAGGUUAGGCUGGGCUGGGAGGUGACAGCAGUAGACAGGUUAGGCUAGGCUGGGAGGUGACAGCAGUAGACAGGUUAGGCUAGGCUGGGAGGUGACAGCAGUAGACAUGUUAGGCUGAGCUGGGAGGUGACAGUAAGUAGACUGGGUUAGACAGGUUAGGAGGGGCUGGGAGGUGACAGUAGUAGACAGGUUAGGCCGGGCUGGGAGGUGACAGCAGUAGACAGGUUAGACAGGUUAGGCUGGGCUGGGAGGUGACAGUAAGUAGACUGGGUUAGACAGGUUAGGAUGGGCUGGGAGGUGACAGUAGUAGACAGGUUAGGCCGGGCUGGGAGGUGACAGCAGUAGACAGGUUAGGCUAGGCUGGGAGGUGACAGCAGUAGACAGGUUAGGCUGGGCUGGGAGGUGACAGUAAGUAGACUGGGUUAGACAGGUUAGGCUGGGCUGGAAGGUGAGAGCAGUAGACAGGUUAGGCUGGGCUGGGAGGUGACAGCAGUAGACAGGUUAGGCUGGGCUGGGAGGUGACAGUAAGUAGACUGGGUUAGAUAGGUUAGGCUGGGCUGGGAGGUGACAGUAAGUAGACUGGGUUAGACAGGUUAGGCUCGGCUGGGAGGUGACAGUAAGUAGACAGGUUAGACAGGUUAGGCUGGGCUGGGAGGUGACAGUAAGUAGACUGGGUUAGACAGGUUAGGCUGGGCUGGGAGGUGACAGUAAGUAGACUGGGUUAGACAGGUUAGGCUGGGCUGGGAGGUGACAGUAAGUAGACUGGGUUAGACAGGUUAGGCUGGGCUGGGAGGUGACAGUAAGUAGACUGGGUUAGACAGGUUAGGCUGGGCUGGGAGGUGACAGUAGUAGACUGGGUUAGACAGGUUAUGCUGGGCUGGGAGGUGACAGUAGUAGACUGGGUUAGACAGGUUAGGCUGGGUUGGGAGGUGACAGUAGUAGACUGGGUUAGACAGGUUAGGCUGGGCUGGGAGGUGACAGUAGUAGACUGGGUUAGACAGGUUAGGCUGGGCUGGGAGGUGACAGUAGUAGACUGGGUUAGACAGGUUAGGCUGGGCUGGGAGGUGACAGUAGUAGACAGGUUAGACAUGUUAGGCUGGGCUGGGAGGUGACAGCAGUAGACUGGGUUAGACAGGUUAGGCUGGGCUGGGAGGUGACAGUAAGUAGACAGGUUAGACAGGUUAGGCUGGGCUGGGAGGUGACAGUAGUAGACUGGGUUAGACAGGUUAGGCUGGGCUGGGAGGUGACAGUGAGUAGACAGGUUAGACAGGUUAGGCUGGGCUGGGAGGUGACAGUAAGUAGACAGGUUAGGCUGGGUUGGGAGGUGACAGUAGUAGACUGGGUUAGACAUGUUAGGCUGGGCUGGGAGGUGACAGUAGUAGACUGGGUUAGGCAGGUUAGGCUGGGCUGGGAGGUGACAGUAAGUAGACAGGUUAGACAGGUUAGGCUGGGCUGGGAGGUGACAGUAAGUAUACUGGGUUAGACAGGUUAGGCUGGGCUGGGAGGUGACAGUAGUAGACUGGGUUAGACAGGUUAGGCUGGGCUGGGAGGUGACAGUAGUAGACUGGGUUAGACAGGUUAGGCUGGGCUGGGAGGUGACAGUAGUAGACUGGGUUAGACAGGUUAGGCUGGGCUGGGAGGUGACAGUAGUAGACUGGGUUAGACAGGUUAGGCUGGGCUGGGAGGUGACAGUAGUAGACUGGGUUAGACAGGUUAGGCUGGGCUGGGAGGUGACAGCAGUAGACUGGGUUAGACAGGUUAGGCUGGGCUGGGAGGUGACAGUAGUAGACAGGUUAGACAGGUUAGGCUGGGCUGGGAGGUGACAGUAAGUAGACUGGGUUAGACAGGUUAGGCUGGGCUGGGAGGUGACAGCAGUAGGCAGGUUAGACAGGUUAGGCUGGGCUGGAAGGUGAGAGCAGUAGACAGGUUAGGCUGGGCUGGGAGAUGACAGCAGUAGACAGGUUAGGCUAGGCUGGGAGGUGACAGUAAGUAGACAGGUUAGACAGGUUAGGCUGGGCUGGGAGGUGACAGUAGGAGACUGGGUUAGACAGGUUAGGCUGGGCUGGGAGGUGACAGUAGUAGACUGGGUUAGACAGGUUAGGCUGGGCUGGGAGAUGACAGUAGUAGACAGGUUAGACAUGUUAGGCUGGGCUGGGAGGUGACAGCAGUAGACAGGUUAGGCUGGGCUGGGAGAUGACAGCAGUAGACAGGUUAGGCUAGGCUGGGAGGUGACAGUAAGUAGACAGGUUAGACAGGUUAGGCUGGGCUGGGAGGUGACAGUAGUAGACAGGUUAGACAGGUUAGGCUGGGCUGGGAGGUGACAGCAGUAGACAGGUUAGGCUGGGCUGGGAGGUGACAGUAGUAGACAGGUUAGACAGGUUAGGCUGGGCUGGGAGGUGACAGUAGUAGACAGGUUAGACAGGUUAGGCUGGGCUGGGAGGUGACAUUAGUAGACUGGGUUAGACAGGUUAGGCUGGGCUGGGAGGUGACAGUAAGUAGACUGGGUUAGAAAGGUUAGGCUGGGCUGGGAGGUGACAGUAGUAGACUGGGUCAGACAGGUUAGGCUGGGCUGGGAGGUGACAGUAGUAGACUGGGUUAGACAGGUUAGGCUGGGCUGGGAGGUGACAGUAGUAGACUGGGUUAGACAGGUUAGGCUGGGCUGGGAGGUGACAGUAAGUAGACAGGUUAGACAGGUUAGGCUGGGCUGUGAGGUGACAGUAGUAGACUGGGUUAGACAUGUUAGGCUGGGCUGGGAGGUGACAGUAGUAGACUGGGUUAGGCAGGUUAGGCUGGGCUGGGAGGUGACAGUAAGUAGACAGGUUAGGCUGGGCUGGGAGGUGACAGUAAGUAGACUGGGUUAGACAGGUUAGGCUGGGCUGGGAGGUGACAGUAGUAGACUGGGUUAGACAGGUUAUGCUGGGCUGGGAGGUGACAGUAGUAGACUGGGUUAGACAGGUUAGGCUGGGUUGGGAGGUGACAGUAGUAGACUGGGUUAGACAGGUUAGGCUGGGCUGGGAGGUGACAGUAGUAGACUGGGUUAGACAGGUUAGGCUGGGCUGGGAGGUGACAGUAGUAGACUGGGUUAGACAGGUUAGGCUGGGCUGGGAGGUGACAGUAGUAGACAGGUUAGACAUGUUAGGCUGGGCUGGGAGGUGACAGCAGUAGACUGGGUUAGACAGGUUAGGCUGGGCUGGGAGGUGACAGUAAGUAGACAGGUUAGACAGGUUAGGCUGGGCUGGGAGGUGACAGUAGUAGACUGGGUUAGACAGGUUAGGCUGGGCUGGGAGGUGACAGUGAGUAGACAGGUUAGACAGGUUAGGCUGGGCUGGGAGGUGACAGUAAGUAGACAGGUUAGGCUGGGUUGGGAGGUGACAGUAGUAGACUGGGUUAGACAUGUUAGGCUGGGCUGGGAGGUGACAGUAGUAGACUGGGUUAGGCAGGUUAGGCUGGGCUGGGAGGUGACAGUAAGUAGACAGGUUAGACAGGUUAGGCUGGGCUGGGAGGUGACAGUAAGUAUACUGGGUUAGACAGGUUAGGCUGGGCUGGGAGGUGACAGUAGUAGACUGGGUUAGACAGGUUAGGCUGGGCUGGGAGGUGACAGUAGUAGACUGGGUUAGACAGGUUAGGCUGGGCUGGGAGGUGACAGUAGUAGACUGGGUUAGACAGGUUAGGCUGGGCUGGGAGGUGACAGUAGUAGACUGGGUUAGACAGGUUAGGCUGGGCUGGGAGGUGACAGUAGUAGACUGGGUUAGACAGGUUAGGCUGGGCUGGGAGGUGACAGCAGUAGACUGGGUUAGACAGGUUAGGCUGGGCUGGGAGGUGACAGUAGUAGACAGGUUAGACAGGUUAGGCUGGGCUGGGAGGUGACAGUAAGUAGACUGGGUUAGACAGGUUAGGCUGGGCUGGGAGGUGACAGCAGUAGGCAGGUUAGACAGGUUAGGCUGGGCUGGAAGGUGAGAGCAGUAGACAGGUUAGGCUGGGCUGGGAGAUGACAGCAGUAGACAGGUUAGGCUAGGCUGGGAGGUGACAGUAAGUAGACAGGUUAGACAGGUUAGGCUGGGCUGGGAGGUGACAGUAGGAGACUGGGUUAGACAGGUUAGGCUGGGCUGGGAGGUGACAGUAGUAGACUGGGUUAGACAGGUUAGGCUGGGCUGGGAGAUGACAGUAGUAGACAGGUUAGACAUGUUAGGCUGGGCUGGGAGGUGACAGCAGUAGACAGGUUAGGCUGGGCUGGGAGAUGACAGCAGUAGACAGGUUAGGCUAGGCUGGGAGGUGACAGUAAGUAGACAGGUUAGACAGGUUAGGCUGGGCUGGGAGGUGACAGUAGUAGACAGGUUAGACAGGUUAGGCUGGGCUGGGAGGUGACAGCAGUAGACAGGUUAGGCUGGGCUGGGAGGUGACAGUAGUAGACAGGUUAGACAGGUUAGGCUGGGCUGGGAGGUGACAGUAGUAGACAGGUUAGACAGGUUAGGCUGGGCUGGGAGGUGACAUUAGUAGACUGGGUUAGACAGGUUAGGCUGGGCUGGGAGGUGACAGUAAGUAGACUGGGUUAGACAGGUUAGGCUGGGCUGGGAGGUGACAGUAGUAGACUGGGUCAGACAGGUUAGGCUGGGCUGGGAGGUGACAGUAGUAGACUGGGUUAGACAGGUUAGGCUGGGCUGGGAGGUGACAGUAGUAGACAGGUUAGACAGGUUAGGCUGGGCUGGGAGGUGACAGUAAGUAGACUGGGUUAGACAGGUUAGGCUGGGCUGGGAGGUGACAGCAGUAGGCAGGUUAGACAGGUUAGGCUGGGCUGGAAGGUGAGAGCAGUAGACAGGUUAGGCUGGGCUGGGAGAUGACAGCAGUAGACAGGUUAGGCUAGGCUGGGAGGUGACAGUAAGUAGACAGGUUAGACAGGUUAGGCUGGGCUGGGAGGUGACAGUAGUAGACUGGGUUAGACAGGUUAGGCUGGGCUGGGAGGUGACAGUAGUAGACUGGGUUAGGCAGGUUAGGCUGGGCUGGGAGGUGACAGUAAGUAGACAGGUUAGACAGGUUAGGCUGGGCUGGGAGGUGACAGUAAGUAUACUGGGUUAGACAGGUUAGGCUGGGCUGGGAGGUGACAGUAGUAGACUGGGUUAGACAGGUUAGGCUGGGCUGGGAGGUGACAGUAGUAGACUGGGUUAGACAGGUUAGGCUGGGCUGGGAGGUGACAGUAGUAGACUGGGUUAGACAGGUUAGGCUGGGCUGGGAGGUGACAGUAGUAGACUGGGUUAGACAGGUUAGGCUGGGCUGGGAGGUGACAGUAGUAGACUGGGUUAGACAGGUUAGGCUGGGCUGGGAGGUGACAGCAGUAGACUGGGUUAGACAGGUUAGGCUGGGCUGGGAGGUGACAGUAGUAGACAGGUUAGACAGGUUAGGCUGGGCUGGGAGGUGACAGUAAGUAGACUGGGUUAGACAGGUUAGGCUGGGCUGGGAGGUGACAGCAGUAGGCAGGUUAGACAGGUUAGGCUGGGCUGGAAGGUGAGAGCAGUAGACAGGUUAGGCUGGGCUGGGAGAUGACAGCAGUAGACAGGUUAGGCUAGGCUGGGAGGUGACAGUAAGUAGACAGGUUAGACAGGUUAGGCUGGGCUGGGAGGUGACAGUAGGAGACUGGGUUAGACAGGUUAGGCUGGGCUGGGAGGUGACAGUAGUAGACUGGGUUAGACAGGUUAGGCUGGGCUGGGAGAUGACAGUAGUAGACAGGUUAGACAUGUUAGGCUGGGCUGGGAGGUGACAGCAGUAGACAGGUUAGGCUGGGCUGGGAGAUGACAGCAGUAGACAGGUUAGGCUAGGCUGGGAGGUGACAGUAAGUAGACAGGUUAGACAGGUUAGGCUGGGCUGGGAGGUGACAGUAGUAGACAGGUUAGACAGGUUAGGCUGGGCUGGGAGGUGACAGCAGUAGACAGGUUAGGCUGGGCUGGGAGGUGACAGUAGUAGACAGGUUAGACAGGUUAGGCUGGGCUGGGAGGUGACAGUAGUAGACAGGUUAGGCUGGGCUGGGAGGUGACAGUAAGUAGACUGGGUUAGACAGGUUAGGCUGGGCUGGGAGGUGACAGUAAGUAGACUGGGUUAGACAGGUUAGGCUGGGCUGGGAGGUGACAGUAGUAGACUGGGUCAGACAGGUUAGGCUGGGCUGGGAGGUGACAGUAAGUAGACUGGGUUAGACAGGUUAGGCUGGGCUGGGAGGUGACAGUAGUAGACUGGGUCAGACAGGUUAGGCUGGGCUGGGAGGUGACAGUAAGUAGACUGGGUUAGCCAGGUUAGGCUGGGCUGGGAGGUGACAGUAAGUAGACUGGGUUAGACAGGUUAGGCUGGGCUGGGAGGUGACAGUAAGUAGACUGGGUUAGACAGGUUAGGCUGGGCUGGGAGGUGACAGUAAGUAGACUGGGUUAGACAGGUUAGGCUGGGCUGGGAGGUGACAGUAAGUAGACUGGGUUAGACAGGUUAGGCUGGGCUGGGAGGUGACAGUAAGUAGACUGGGUUAGACAGGUUAGGCUGGGAGGUGUGUGUAACUCUGUUGUUCCCUCUGUUUCUGCUGGGCAA